UGAUUUAUUACGUAAUAAUAAUAAUUCACUAUAAUGAAGAAAUUAAUUGCUAACAUAAUAUUUUAACAAUUAUUUUCCUUAGUAAUUUAACAGAAAGGAAACAAUCUUGAAUUUUCAAGUUAUUAAGUGAUAACACCUGUGUUAUCAUUUAAUAAAAUUAAUUGUUGUAAGACAUUCUAAAUAAUAUUCAAGUACAAAAAGCAGUGAUGAUAGCAAGGUUGGAUUUAAGGCUCAUAACCUCUCUCCGAAAUAGAAGCAAUUCUUAAAUAAAUUUUUUUUUUUUUGAUCAUCAAGUUCAUUUCAGAUACUUUUUAUUGAAAAAAAAAUUUAUUUAUAUAUUUAUUUUAAGAUAAUCGCUCGAUUUAUAACUUUUAAAAAUUAAAGUUAUUUAAAAGUAUGAGAUUUUUUAUUGUAAACUUUGGUAAAAGAAACAGUUUUUAGAAAGUCUAUCACAAUAUUAUAGUUACUAGAAGGUCAAAUAGACCGGUUUUGAAAAAGAAUAUUAAGUUCAAAACUGGUUAUUCACCUUAAUAAAAAUUUUUCAAUAAUAAUUGUAUUUUAAAUGGAAUAUUAAACGUGCAAACUACCACCUAUAGAUUAUUAACUAUAAAGUAAUGAUGAUAAUGAUACAAUGAGAUUAUAAAGGAUAAUAAAGUAUGCUAUGAGAAAAAAAUUAUCAAAUCUAAAACUUUAUAAAAUAAAUUAAUUUAUAGUAAACUGUAAUAAGAUAUUUUUUGUGAGAUAGAUUUGAAAACUCAUAUAGUCGACAUAAAUUAAUUUUUUACAAUACCAUCAUAAUAAAAUUACUUAGAUCAGUUUAAUAAUUGCAAUACUUCUCCUGAAAUGGAUAAAGAACUGCCUAGUUUGAAGUAUGUAUGUUAAACAAACCUCUUCUAUGACAUAUUUAAGAGAUCAAGGAGACUAAAAAAUUGUCAAAACUCAAAGCAGUAAACGACUAUGGCCCUAUAUAUCAUAGUUAUCACAAAUACAUCACAAAUGGAGGUCAUUAUAUCUCUAAAAGGCCCAUAAAAGCAUAAAAACAAAAAUUUUCAGAUUUAUGAUAACUAUAUGUAUGAUAAAAUACAGUGAUUUUGAAUGGGGUACAUUAACUAAGACUGGUGGAAUUUCAAAUCCACAUACUGGUAUUCUGUAUUAACUUCAUUACCAGUUAUAUCUAACAACUGAAAAUUUCAGUAGUUCUAGUAAGUACUAUUUUUUGAUAAUCAUUAUUCAUUAUUGAUAAUUAAAAUUUCAUUGAUAUUUGACAUAUUUAUAUAUUUAUCAGUACUAGCUGAUAAUUUAAUAUAAUUUUAUGAAUAUUGUAUUACUAUGUUGUUUUAUUUAUGCCAAUUUCCAAAGAAUGUGCAGCAACAAUAUUAAAACGAUUGCCAUAAAUUAAAUUAUCCAAAGAGACCCAUGUUAUUAACUAAUAAUUAUGAUUAAUUUGUAAGUUUGUAAAUAAUACUAUAUUACUUAAUAAUUCUUUUAAAUACCUAAAAUAAUUAUUAUUUCAGCUAAGUAAAAACGGCACAAUU